UUUUUAGAAAUGCAUUUGUCAUUGCAUAAAAGUCCAGUGGAGAAUACAAAUAUAAGACUUGAAGCCUGCUUUUACAAUAAAAGACCCAAUCCAAAGUGCAAGGCUAAAAGCCCAAGACCAUUCCCCACCAAAUCCCUAGCUCUACAUUCAAGCAAAAAGUCAAGAAGCAUACUUAAUGCCUCCUCAUCGAGAACCUAGUAGAACCAAAGCCACCCAUCAGAGACUAGAAAGGAGUUGUUGCUAACCCAUGCAAGGCUUGAAAAUAAAGCAGGCCAAGAAGAAAUCCCAAACAAACUAACAAAAACCGUCAUCUCCACAAGGAGCCACUGAAAUUCUAUCAUCUUUGACUUGGAGAAGUGGAAGCCAUCUAGCCAUCAAGCACUGGCAAGCUACUUUUUGGGACAUCAUCUCUUAAUCCUCAAUGUCGUCUUCCUUGAAUCUACCCCAAGCUGAGAACCUACACCAAAGCCAUCACACCACAAUAAACACAGAUCAAAGAAACAAAAG
rnacentral:misc_RNA from 1 species